UAGGUCUCAGGGUAUUAUUUAAUAAAAC
rnacentral:sRNA from 1 species